rnacentral:rRNA from 1 species
UACAGAGGGUGCAAGCGUUAAUCGGAAUUACUGGGCGUAAAGCGUGCGUAGACGGUAGCGUAAGUCGGGUGUGAAAGCCCCGGGCUCAACCUGGGAAUUGCAUUCGAGGCUGCUCUGCUAGGGUGCGGAAGAGGGGAGCGGAAUUUCCGGUGUAGCGGUGAAAUGCGUAGAUAUCGGAAGGAACACCAGUGGCGAAAGCGGCUCCCUGGUCCAGCACCGACGUUCAGGCACGAAAGCGUGGGGAGCAAACAGG